rnacentral:rRNA from 1 species
UACGAAGGGUGCAAGCGAUACUCGGAAUCACUAGGCGUAAAGCGCAGGUAGGCGGUUUGGUAAGUCUUUUGUGAAAGCUCCCGGCUCAACUGGGAGAGGUCAAGGGAAACUACCGGACUAGAGUGUGGUAGGGGAUACUGGAAUUCCUGGUGUAGCGGUGAAAUGCGUAGAUAUCAGGAGGAAUACCUAUGGCGAAAGCAGGUAUCUGGGCCAUCACUGACGCUGAGCUGCGAAAGCUAGGGGAGCAAACAGG